rnacentral:rRNA from 1 species
GGAGGGUGCAAGCGUUAAUCGGAAUUACUGGGCGUAAAGCGCACGCAGGCGGUUUGUUAAGUCAGAUGUGAAAUCCCCGGGCUCAACCUGGGAAUUGCAUCUGAUACUGGCAAGCUUGAGUCUCGUAGAGGGGGGUAGAAUUCCAGGUGUAGCGGUGAAAUGCGUAGAGAUCUGGAGGAAUACCGGUGGCGAAGGCGGCCCCCUGGACGAAGACUGACGCUCAGGUGCGAAAGCGUGGGGAGCGAACAGGAUUAGAUACCCUGGUAGUCCACGCCGUAAACGGUGGAUGCUGGAUGUGGGGACCAUUCCACGGUCUCCGUGUCGGAGCCAACGCGUUAAGCAUCCCGCCUGGGGAGU